rnacentral:rRNA from 1 species
AUACGUAGGUGCCAAGCGUUAUCCGGAUUUACUGGGCGUAAAGGGCGUGUAGGCGGUCUUGCAAGUCAGAAGUGAAAUUCCUGAGCUCAACUCGGGCGCUGCUUCUGAAACUGCAGGACUUGAGUGCUGGAGGGGAUAGCGGAAUUCCUAGUGGAGCGGUAAAAUGCGCAGAUAUUAGGAAGAACACCGGUGGCGAAGGCGGCUAUCUGGACAGUAACUGACGCUGAGGCGCGAAAGCGUGGGGAGCAAACAGGAUUAGAUACCCUGGUAGUCCACGCUGUAAACGAUGAAUACUAGGUGUGGGGGGACUGACCCCCUCCGUGCCGCAGUUAACACAAUAAGCAUUCCGCCUGGGGAGUACGGCCGCAAGGUUGAAACUCAAAUGAAUUGACGGG